rnacentral:rRNA from 1 species
UAGGGAAUCUUCGGCAAUGGGGGGAACCCUGACCGAGCAACGCCGCGUGAGUGAAGAAGGUUUUCGGAUCGUAAAGCUCUGUUGUUAAGGAAGAACGAGUGUGAGAAUGGAAAGUUCAUACUGUGACGGUACUUAACCAGAAAGGGACGGCUAACUACGUGCCAGCAGCCGCGGUAAUACGUAGGUCCCGAGCGUUGUCCGGAUUUAUUGGGCGUAAAGCGAGCGCAGGCGGUUAGAUAAGUCUGAAGUUAAAGGCAGUGGCUCAACCAUUGUAGGCUUUGGAAACUGUUUAACUUGAGUGCAGAAGGGGAGAGUGGAAUUCCAUGUGUAGCGGUGAAAUGCGUAGAUAUAUGGAGGAACACCGGUGGCGAAAGCGGCUCUCUGGUCUGUAACUGACGCUGAUGUGCGAAAGCGUGGGGAGCGAACAGG